GUCAAAUUGGCCGAGUGGUCUAAGGCGCCAGACUUAAGUUCUGGUCCUCUAAUGAGGGCGUGGGUUCGAACCCCACAUCUGACA
rnacentral:tRNA from 1 species